rnacentral:lncRNA from 1 species
GACAGAUCAGUCUGGUGGCUGGGGCACUAAAAGUACUUCAACUGCGACGCCCGCAUGGGGUGCUGCAGUGAACACCGGAACCACAUCUGAGCCAGAUCAAUCUGGUAGCUGGGGCACUAAAAGUACUUCAACUCCGACGCCUGCAUGGGGUGCUGCAGCGAACGCCGGAACCACAUCUGAGCCAGAUCAAUCUGGUAGCUGGGGCACUAAAAGUACUUCAACUCCGACGCCUGCAUGGGGAGCUGCAGCGAACACUGAAACCACAUCUGAGCCAGAUAAGUCAGGUGGCUGGGGCACUAAAAGUACUUCAACUCCGACGCCCGCUUGGGGUGCUGCAGUGAACACCAUAACCACAUCUGAGCCAGUUCAGUCUGGUGGCUGGGGCACUAAAAGUACUUCAACUCCGACGCCAGCAUGGGGUGCUGCAGUGAACAUCGAAACCACAUCUGAGCCAGAUCAGUCAGGUGGCUGGGGCACUAAAAGUACUUCAACUCCGACACCCGCUUGGGGUGCUGCAGUGAACACUGGAACCACAUCUGAGCCAGAUCAGUCUGGUGGCUGGGGAAAAGGUGGAGGCAGCUCGGGUCAGUCAGAGCCUAAUGAUAAUCAGAAUACUGCCUGGGGCACUAAAAGUACUUCAACUCCGAAGCCCUCAUGGGGUGCUGCAGUGAACACCGGAACCACAUCUGAGCCAGAUCAGUCUGGUGGAUGGGGAAAAGUUGGCGGCAGCUCGGGCCAGACAGAGCUUAAUGACAAUCAGAAUACUGCUUGGGGCACUAAAAGUUCUUCCACUCCGGCACCUGCAUGGGGUGCUACAGUGAACACCGGAACCACAUCUGAGCCAGAUCAGUCCGGCGGCUGGGGCACUAAAAGUACUUCAACUCCGAAGCCCUCAUGGGGUGCUGCAGUGAACACCGGAACCACAUCCGAGCCAGAUCAGUCCAGUGGCUGGGGCGCUAAAAGUACUUCUGAUGUGAACAAUAGCA